rnacentral:rRNA from 4 species
UGCAAGUCGAACGAACUCUGGUAUUGAUUGGUGCUUGCAUCAUGAUUUACAUUUGAGUGAGUGGCGAACUGGUGAGUAACACGUGGGAAACCUGCCCAGAAGCGGGGGAUAACACCUGGAAACAGAUGCUAAUACCGCAUAACAACUUGGACCGCAUGGUCCGAGUUUGAAAGAUGGCUUCGGCUAUCACUUUUGGAUGGUCCCGCGGCGUAUUAGCUAGAUGGUGGGGUAACGGCUCACCAUGGCAAUGAUACGUAGCCGACCUGAGAGGGUAAUCGGCCACAUUGGGACUGAGACACGGCCCAAACUCCUACGGGAGGCAGCAGUAGGGAAUCUUCCACAAUGGACGAAAGUCUGAUGGAGCAACGCCGCGUGAGUGAAGAAGGGUUUCGGCUCGUAAAACUCUGUUGUUAAAGAAGAACAUAUCUGAGAGUAACUGUUCAGGUAUUGACGGUAUUUAACCAGAAAGCCACGGCUAACUACGUGCCAGCAGCCGCGGUAAUACGUAGGUGGCAAGCGUUGUCCGGAUUUAUUGGGCGUAAAGCGAGCGCAGGCGGUUUUUUAAGUCUGAUGUGAAAGCCUUCGGCUCAACCGAAGAAGUGCAUCGGAAACUGGGAAACUUGAGUGCAGAAGAGGACAGUGGAACUCCAUGUGUAGCGGUGAAAUGCGUAGAUAUAUGGAAGAACACCAGUGGCGAAGGCGGCUGUCUGGUCUGUAACUGACGCUGAGGCUCGAAAGUAUGGGUAGCAAACAGGAUUAGAUACCCUGGUAGUCCAUACCGUAAACGAUGAAUGCUAAGUGUUGGAGGGUUUCCGCCCUUCAGUGCUGCAGCUAACGCAUUAAGCAUUCCGCCUGGGGAGUACGGCCGCAAGGCUGAAACUCAAAGGAAUUGACGGGGGCCCGCACAAGCGGUGGAGCAUGUGGUUUAAUUCGAAGCUACGCGAAGAACCUUACCAGGUCUUGACAUACUAUGCAAAUCUAAGAGAUUAGACGUUCCCUUCGGGGACAUGGAUACAGGUGGUGCAUGGUUGUCGUCAGCUCGUGUCGUGAGAUGUUGGGUUAAGUCCCGCAACGAGCGCAACCCUUAUUAUCAGUUGCCAGCAUUAAGUUGGGCACUCUGGUGAGACUGCCGGUGACAAACCGGAGGAAGGUGGGGAUGACGUCAAAUCAUCAUGCCCCUUAUGACCUGGGCUACACACGUGCUACAAUGGAUGGUACAACGAGUUGCGAACUCGCGAGAGUAAGCUAAUCUCUUAAAGCCAUUCUCAGUUCGGAUUGUAGGCUGCAACUCGCCUACAUGAAGUCGGAAUCGCUAGUAAUCGCGGAUCAGCAUGCCGCGGUGAAUACGUUCCCGGGCCUUGUACACACCGCCCGUCACACCAUGAGAGUUUGUAACACCCAAAGUCGGUGGGGUAACCUUUUAGGAACCAGCCGCC